CACCCAUUAUUCUGCCGGGAGGGUUGAAAGAAGAUGGAGAAAUAGUGACUCUGUUUCCAGCCGUGGCCAGUAGGCCAAGACAGCAAGCUGUUCGGUCUAUACAGCACGGUUGACAGUACAACAAGCGGCAACCUGGAGACAUCCCACCCAGUCAUCUUUCACCACUUCUCCAUGAGUGAUGGAUGGUAGUGCGCCUUCGUGUGAGCACAUUUUGUUUCAGAGGAUGCUGUCACCUUAAGCUCCCAGCAUCCCUGGAGGCGGACAUUUCACUUGAAGACACUGAUUCAGAGAUCUCUGGUUCUGCAGAACUCCUCCCCUCCCCCAGUCCUCUUCCUUGUUCCUCCCCUGUCUUCUAUAUAAGAGAGUCUUAAGGGCCCUACCUGGCCCUCAAACCCCAAAGCUAAAGGCAGAGCUAAGCAGGUGGGAAGGGCUUAACAGAAAUGCAAAGCCUUUGUUUCACCUUCCCUGCAGCUAACAGCAAAGUCUUCCCGACACUGUCCCGCCCACAUGCUGGAGCCAGGAGUCUGGAGCCUCAAGGUCCACGGCUACCUACGUUCUUAGAGCCCUCAGGCAGAGAGCUGGGAAGACUUUCUCAGCCUCAUGGGACCCAGGGAGGUCAAUGGUGGUCAAAGGCUUUUUCCACUGAAUCACAGGACUCUGGUUGAAGGGCGUUUGCAAGUAGGGAAGCAAGAAUUUGGCACCGGCAUUCUUCAGGUGGUUUCUCCGAGUGCCAACCUGUACCUAUUCCUGGGAAGCCAUAUGAUUUCUGGUUAUAUUAUUACAUAAUUCCAUGGUGAGUCUUAUUUAUGCUCUAUCACUAAGUUCGUAAUAGAUUAAACUAAAACUCACCUUCAUUUCUGGGAAAGCCAUUUGCUCAGAGUUCUUUAAUUAACACAUCAAACAAAAGGAAGGCCACUGACUACAAGAAGGACAGACUGGGGUUGCAGUCAGUCCUGACUGAACCUGGUAUUCAUCUCAGGCAGUUUCCCAGACAUGCAGUCAUUGAUUUUUAACUCAAAAGAUUGCUGGUAGCCUCUCUCAUACAGCAUGUCCAUCCAGGGGGUUCCACCAAGUCUUCUCUUUCUGUUGCCUUGCCUGGGGUUCUAAGGACUCUCUUAGCCUUGCCUGAAACACUCACUUUGUCUCAAGUGUCUGCUCUGGACAGGACAGAAGGUUACAAUCUCCCUGCCAAACACAUUUCUUUGUUAUUCAAAUUAGUUGCUUUAAAAUCCUUUAAUCGCCCAUCCCCCUUUAAGAAUCCCCCCCCCCACACACACACUGUCUUUUUCUCUCUCCUUUCCUCCCACCCUUCUCACUCUACAUGAUCUUUCUCUCUAGCCCCUGCUGACCUUUAACUCACUAUCCUAUCCACCUGCCUGAGUCGAGGUGUCGGACUUAUAGGCAGGUCCCACCAUAUUUGGGUUCCAGAAUUCAUCUUCUUUCAACGGAGACUUUCAAAACUGCCCAGCUUGUACUGAGCUCUGUGCUAGGGGUUGAUGGGAGCAGAGAUGAAGCAAGCAAGCUACAGGCCUCUCAAAGCUCAAUGCAGGUACCAUGUGCCCUCUCCUCCUUCAGAUCUGCAUUGAGCUUCCCCAGCUCUCCCAGGGGAUCACCUCAGCCAGGUUAAGGUACCUGCAGAGCUCCUGGUGUGCAUCUUUUGUAUCGAUAUUUUGGUCCUCAGGCUGCUUCUGUCACGGUGUGCGUACGGACAAUCUGUGUAACUUGAUUGUUAAGUGUAUGCAGUGGCUCUAGUCUUGCUGUUUUGCCUGAUCAGGAAUAAUUGGCACUCAGUAAAAAAAAAAAAAAAAACGGAAUUCACCUGCCGGAUGUGAGAAGCAAUCCAGGACCUUGGGGGCAAGAGGAUUGCCUCAGCUUUGGGACGACCUUGGGCUACAUAGUGAGUUCUAGUGACUCCAUAGCCUGUCCAGGGUACAAAGUGAGACCCCUAUCUCAAAAAGUUGAAGGGGUAUGGGAAGCCAACAAAAAAUACUUACCAUUUAUUGAAUGCUUAAUUUUGAGGCAAAGCGGUUUUUCAGUGCCAUCAAAGAAGCCAAGUGCAUCAUCUGCUUUUCUUUUUUUUUUUUCUUUUUAUUUUCUGUAUUCUGAUGUUUGGACAUUUGAGGCAUUGCUGACCUUCAUUGACUCCUCCCACAAUGAGCCCAUGACUACAAAUAGUCAACAUUUGCCUGGAGUUGGCCGUUACCCUCAUUGUUCCUAGGACAGAAACCAAAGGACUUGAUCCUUUGAGCCCACUGCAAUCUGUCAACCUAGCCAAUAGGAAAGCUGCUUUCUGGCCUCCCAUUCACUCCUAAAGUCAUCCCCCUGCCUCCUCUCUAAGUGUGGGGCUUCUGCUGUUUCAGUCUAUCCUCUUCUAGGUGCUCCCCUCUUCCUGGGAACUGUGAAUGACAACUAUCAGUGACAGGCAUCUCCCGUGGAUAGCACGUUUUUUUGUGGUAAUAAGCUAACGAUACUUUAAAGCAAUAAGGAAACUGUCAGCUUUUUCCCCAGGAGGGAGAGUAUAUGGAAAACUGAAUAAUGUCAUUUUAUGUUUGGAAAAACAGUUGUAAUUAUUUUAUGACUUUAAAUAAAGUGAAAUAUUACUCUC
ensembl:lincRNA 5830416I19Rik RIKEN cDNA 5830416I19 gene